UUCAGUAGUUAGAUUUUACUGCUGGGCCUGAAAUCUAGAUAGAUUAUCUGUUUCUUCAGUACACAUUCUAAACUGCUUAUCAAUAUAUUUCAUUACAUAUUUUUCUAGCAAGAAAAUAAACUUUUUAAUAUUUCUGGUACUCCCCUUAAUGUAAGAAAGGUAGCUAGUAUAUUUUAUCUACCUAUUAAGUAUCAAUCUUGUUAGUGUAAUUGUUGGAGCUUUACUUGUAUCUGGUUUUCAUCAUACGGAAAUGUGAUUAUCAUUGAUUUCUAAACCACGGUUUAAUUAUAUGUACUUAUAAAUUUUAGAUAUAACUAUGCCCAUGGUCGUUGUUGUUGUACCCUAUGGUCUCCUUUCUGGGUUCACUUUUCUUAUUGUUAAAUCACACUUUAUAGGCAAUUCUUUACUGCGAGCCCUGGGUAGUACACCCUUUUUGUAUGUCUAAAACUAUUUUUAUUUGUCUUUUAUCAUAAAUUACAAUUUUGAGUAUUUUUGCUCAGCAUGUUACAGAUAUUACUCAGUUAUAUCUGUGACUAUUGUUCAGUCAACUAUUCUUAAGAGAAAUCUGCUAUCAAUUUUAUCUUUUUACAGGUAAUCUGCUUUUCUCCUCCUGGCAGCUUUUAAGUAUUUUAUCAUCUGAUAGUUUCUCUUAAAUAUGAUUAGUUGUGGAUUUAUUUGUAAUUAUCAGUCAUGAACUCAGUGUAUACUAUUUAAUCUCAAGACUUCAAUUCUAGAAAUUCUGAUAUUAUCUUUUCCCUGGUCAUUUUUCAUUGCCUACGUAUUUUUCUUCUGGAAUUUUUUUGUUUGUUUGUUUUGUUUGUUGAUUUUUUUUUUUGAGAUAGGGUUUCACUGUGUAGUCCAGGCUGGCCUUGUUCUCCUGGUUCUUCUGGAAUUCCCAUAAGAUAUAUGUAUAUGUUUCCUAAUCAAUUCAACAUAUCUCAAAUGCUAUUUCAUUUUCUAAAAGUCUAUUUUAUUUUCUUUCUUUUCUCUCUCUCUUUUAUUUUUUAUUUUAUUUUAUUUUAUUUAUUUAUUUAUUUAUUUAUUUAUUUAUUUAUUUAUUUAUUUUUGAGACAAAGUCUUGCUAUGUAGUCUUGACUUCACUAUACAGCCCAGUCUGGCUUCAAACUCCCAGUGAUUCUCCUGCCUCCGCCUCUUUACUACUUGGAUUAAAGCGUGUACCAACACACUUGGCUAAAAAUUCUAUUUUACUUACUUGAAUUUUUUUUCUGAAUAUUUUCCUUAAAAUUACAUGCUAGCUCAGUGUUCUCCUAAAAAUUGCCCUCAUAAGUUAUGCCAUGUAUUGCACUUUUAUUGUCAAUGAACACAUUUUGAAAUUUUAAGAUUUCUGACUGAUUUUUUAAUCUUAUUAACCUGUUCUUAUUUUACUGCUGUUUUUAAUGUAUAAUUUCUUGUUCUCUUAUGGUAUAGUUAUCUCUGAGCAUCUCAAACAUAGUCCUGUUGAGGUCAUUGUGAAACUCUAAAAAUCAAAUUCAUCUGGAGUGAAUCUUAUAAUAAUUGACUCUGUUGGUUGUUUUCCUUAGAUUAGAUUUCUGACUACAUUUUAGAAUUUUGUCUUGCAGGGUCAUCUUGGUCCUAGGCAUUUUUGUUUUCUCUCUUUUCUUUCCCUUUUCUUUUCUUUGCUUAUAUGUCCUAAACUAUUGCUUUUCCUAUAGUUUCUAUCUGGAUCCCUGAAUUCCUAGGCCGAAUGCAGAUCUUACGGUGGCAGCUUUUAGUUUCAUCUCCAUAUUUGAUCAUAAACCUAUGUCUUUUUCUUUCUGCCUUGCAAAGAGGCAACAGUUGGCCAAAGCUGUGGCAGCCUGUUGCUGAAGUAGUAAGCCAGAGUCAGGCUCACCAUUUCAUAUGGAGCCUUGUUGACCCCAAUACUCCGAGGACUAGGCUUUCAGACGUCUUUGUGUGCUUCCAGGUCCAGAUUUCAGUAUGCCUAUCUAUGGCUUUAGCACCAUUCACUGGUUUUGUUUCUUUCCAUAAAUAAUCAUCUUAUUAAAAUCCAAUUCUACCUUUUUGGUUUUCUCAUGUUAUAUGGAAUUUUUAAAGUUACAGUAUAUUUUGAACAGCACAGCUUUAAUUUUUUUUACCUCUUUUUUAUGCAGAUGCAUCAUUUAAAAACAAAUAAUAUUAUAAAUUACAGUUACUAUUUAAUGUUAAAUUGUGAUGGGCACUGAAUUUUACAUAGAUUACCUUAUUCAAUUCUCUCAGCUAUUCUGAUUCCCAUUAUAUCGAGUAAGAAAUUGAGAGAAAGUAAGCUAAAUAAAUUUUCACUUAGGAAAAAGGUUAUAAUUAGUAAAUGGCAGGAAUAACAUUUGAAUCCCAUUUUCCCUACUAACAGAAUUGGUGUCUUUAAACUGUUAUCCUGUGCUAAAAUUCUGUAAUUUUUUAACUUAUUUCUUUUUAACAAACUAAUUUAAAUAAUUUCUAUUUUUGUAAAAAAAAUAGUUCUAGUCCUAUUUAGAAAUCUUAUUUUAUGUUUUCUUUGCUUUUAUGCUUCCUGUUUCUCAUUCUCUUUCUCUCUCUCUCUCUCUCGCCUCUUGCUCCCUCCUUCUAUAUCUUUCUCUUUUGAUAUAUGAUUAUAUUGUUUCAUCUGCUAUUGAUCUGGUAAUUUGGAUGUAUUAAAACAUAGUUUUUUCUAGUAAUAAUUACUGUCAUUUGUCCAAAUAAAUUCAUUUCUAUUUUAUUAGCAUUAAUGAAAGUGUAUACUGUAAAAAAUAAGGAGUAUAAGAUGCUAUUUCUUCAUACAUCUUCUGUCACCCGAUUUCUGAUUUUUUUUCUUAUAUUACCUUACGUCAGAUAUUGAACAUUAUUAUUAUUGAUACAGCAGUAGAAAGAAUAAUCACCAAAAAGGUGGCUUAUUUUAGGUAGCAGAGUGAUUCUAGCACUAAACAGGUGCUCAGUAAAUACUUAUCAAGUGUUAAAUUAACAAACAUGUUCUUUUUAUCACAUGUGCACACAGAAAAAGAAAACAGGUGAGACCUUUUUAGAGUCUUCAUUUGCUAUUGCAUGACUUCUUAUUUCAUUUAGAACUGGAAUUUUGUAAGCUAUUGAACCACCAUAUAAUACAAUAAAUAACUCUCGAUUCUUUUGUUAAGCAGAUCUAUGCUUUGUGAAGCAGCCUUUUGCAAUCAAUGACUUUACAUUCAAUUUAGUUCCAUUCAUCCCUAUUUUUACAUUUUCUCCUUGUGCUCUACUCCUGACCCCCACAAUUCAUAAAUAUAUUUCAUAAGUCUCAAAUCAGUAACUAAUGUUUUCAUUGUGCAAAUACUAUGAGAUUCUUGGAUAUAAAGUAGUGACUAAAUGGCAAUCAUUUUAUCAUAUUAAAUGUCUCUUUACCCCAGUUCUUCAAGAAUAGUUUGUGUGGUUUAUUGUUUAAGGAAAGGAAUUUUUGAAGUAAUGCUACUGUUUUAUUUUUGGUGGUAGUUCUCAAAAUCCCCAACUAUAGUCAAAGGAAAUUCUUUAUAUAAAUUUCUAAGAAAAUGGAUUUUUUCAUUGAUAUAAAAAGAAACUUUAUGAUGAUCUAAAACAUGCUAGAGUAAAAACACUGUGCUUCUAUUGUAGCAAAGCAGUUAAAUAAAACAAUAUAGAAUAGCAAAAAGAAAAAAGAAAACAAAGUAUAAACUGGGUCAUUUGUUGAUGUGCAAAUUUUAUGGAAAUUUUAAUGACACAUUUGAUUGAUUUAUAAGGAGUCUAUAUUAUACUGUUAUAAGAACACUCAAGCCUUCUAUGUGGCAUAAUUUUAACAAUCUUUUAUACAUAACAACAGAUUGAAAUUAAACUGUCUUCCUAGCUGUUUCUAUUCUUUAAAUUAUAAAAUGAUUUUUAUUAUUCUCUUUUUAAAACUGUUGACUGAGAAUCAGGAAAUUUGGUUUCUAGUCCUAGUUCUGUCAUUUAACUGGCUGUAUGACCAUGAGUAAAUCAUUGAACUCUUUGCACCGAUUUGUCUUUCAUAAUGUAGAAAGUUGGAAUUGAUGCUUGAAAAUGUUCUUUCCAUUUUUUGUGUUCUAGUAUUCUACAUUGUAUCUGUCUAUAUGCAGAAACAUAUAUAAAAACUUAACUCUAAGUAUGUUUAGUUACUUUUCUCUUUGCUGACACAAAAUACCCAACACCCAGAGUUAAAGGAGGAAAGGUUUAUUUAGCUCACAGUUUGUAGAGGAUUCAGUCCAUAAUGGGCACAAGGCAGAGGGGCAACAGUUCACGGCAGUGAGAGAUAGCAAAAGAAAUAAGAGACCUUAACAGUAUCAUCCUCCCCCUUUUAUCUUAUCCAGACUGCUUAGGGCUGGUAGCACUCACACCCUUAAUCCUAGUGCUCUUGAGCCUAGCAUUAAACCAUGAAUCAAUUCCAGCAUCACACACUCUAGAUCCAGCCACCUCCAAAAAAGCCCCACCUAAGAACACAGGAGGCCUUGGGAAGACAUCUAAACACAAGCUAUAGCAAUGUAUACAAACUAUAACAGUGCCCCAUAUACCAGUAGUUUAAGCUGUUCGACAGACAUCAUGAGGAAAUAAGUAAGGGGGAACUGCUGUAGGCUCUUCCUCUGAACUGACAGAAUGAAAGCAUUUUCAAAAGUAUUAUUGGGCAUCAUUGUGCAAAAUGGAUCACAACAGAAGUAAUCAACCAGGCUGAUUUGGUGCCUUGGAUCAGGGUAAGAUAAGGAAAGUGCACACCAUAGUGAUACAGAGAUGAAGUAUAAUCACAAGGUAUGAAGAUACUGAGAUAUAUAUUCAUUCAAAAAUAAUAGCUAAAAGUAACAUUUUUAAAAUCAUGAAAGGAAAUACAAGUAUCUAAUAAACAUGAAAAAAUAUCUCACUAGCACUCAAUACAAUUUAUAAAAAACAAUAAAUCUCAAUGCUAGUAAGUAUGCAGUAAAAUAGGCACAACUGAAGAAUUUCAGUUUACUCACCUUCUGAAAUACAGGUAUAUAUAGAUUUUCACUUUCCCCCACCAGAACCACAUCAUUUUUGUUUCCAUUGCCUGUUGUUUCUCAGAGUUUCUCUGUUUCUUUUUUGGAUCCUUGUACCUUUGCCUUAGGUGAUCACCCUGCACUUUGACAUUCCAAAACUUCAUUUCUUCAAUCAUUUCUGCCCUUACUACACUGAAACCACAUUUACAUGCACAUGAAAUCACUUUCCCUUAUCCUAAAGGAGGAAGUCUGUCUAGAUCAUUCUGUGUGUUACCAAUUAUCUUUAACUUCUAAAUUUGUUAUUAUAAAAAUUGUUGCUCUAAUAAUGGCAUUUUGAGUAAUUGAAUAGAUGAAAAUGAAGUAAAGAACACAUUCAUGAUGUUACUGCAAAGUCAUUUUUAUUCAGUGGAAAAAAUGCUACUGAUAAACUUAUUAGGCACCCUUUUCAAGAAUAGACUCUCAGUCAUCUGCUCUAUGUAAAAAUGAAUAAACAUAACAACUUACUGGGGUCUGUACCCAGAAAUUUAGCCAAAAAAGAAACCCACGUGGGAAGAAUGAACUAGAUAAAGUUUUAUCAGUUCAAAAUACCCAACUACUUAGUAUGGUCCUUUUCUAACAAAACUGUAUAAGUAAAAACAUAAUUGUCUUUAAAACCUAUAUUCCUUACCCUAGCCUAUGGCAAAGUACUGAAGAAAGUAAAAGUUUCCAGACAACGCCCUUUUACCCUUGUGGGAGGAGAAUGAGCACACUCUAUCCAGGCCUCCACAGAAGUACAAGUCAUUUGUGGAUACGCUCAUCUCCUUUUCAGAAAGUUUUCCUGAACUUUUUCAGAAGGCAGAGACUGUGUGUCUUUAUUACCUCAAAUUCUGUCAAAUUGCAUGAUCAUUGGAUGCACUGAUAUAGGAUUAGCAGUUUUAUUAGGCUUAUUUUAGUAUCUAAAAUAUAAAGUAAAAGUCACUUGGCUAUAAAUGCUUACACUUUUUACUCUAACUCAUCUUACUAGCAUUUAGGUGAAUGUCUUAGAAUGAUAAUAUUAUGGAGUUUUGAACAUCUUUGAGAGUAAAUAACUUUCAAAAACCUAUUUUUCUGCAAGAUUGAGAGUGAAAAUAGUAUAGUUCUUAAGAGCUCUUUUGGUUAUUAGUGUGGCAUUAAUAACAAGUUAUUAAAUCUCUGAAUUUCAAUUUUCACAUCUGAGAGAUGGGAAUAGUCCUUGUAGUGGGGAUUAGAUAAGAUACUGCUUAUCAAACAGCAUGAUGCCUCCCAUUAUGACUAGAGUUAAUGCCUCGCAGGACCAGGAUGGGUGUCUGUACUCAUGCUUCUGGACCGCUGGGACACAGCAUGUGGUAUACCACUCAGGCACUUACCUGACUCCAAGUCAGAGAAUGUAAGGACAUAAAGUAGUGUUUUUCAGUCUUUAGGAGCAUAAGAAUUACUUGGACAACUUACUUAGAGAGCUCUUAGUUCCACCACAAAAAAAGAGUAAUUCAAUUGGUUUGCUGUGAGGUGAGGCCCUGAAGUAUGUCUUUUUAACAUGUCCUUCAGGUGUUUUUGGUGUAGCUGAUCCUAGACCAAGCUCUGAGUCACCCUGGCAUCAUGACCCCAUCUCAACCUUGAUCAUAGAUCACCUGCAGCCCCCUUGCAUUAUUCCCUAGGAGUUACCCUCCUCAAUGCUAGUGGCUUUGCUAUGGGAAACAUAGCUGUCUCCACCCCUUCACUUCAUCUUUCUGAAGACAGAAGAAAAGAAUAGAGAAGGCAGGGUCAAUUGAGAAAACUUGAGUAGCUAUAGCAAAUUGUCAAUUAUUUUUGCCUUAGUCCAAAAGUGAGCUGACUUGUAUGGAAAGCUUGAACUUUAGAACAAUAGUUUCCCCCCAUAACUGAGGAAUGGCUGGGUAUAGUGAAAUCUAUCUCUUGUUUUUUUAUGGAACUACUAUCUAAAGAAUUUAGAAGAAUAAGUACAACUGAAGUGCAAAGUGUUAAAUGCAUGCUUCGAUUUAGUCAAUGCAUUUGCACAUUGAAGUAAUUAGGAUGUAUUUAAAAGCAUUCUGCUUGCAAUACUUUGUUCUCCAUUUCCUACAAAUUAAAUUAGUGAGGGGUAGAUUUGAUUUUUACAUCAUUUUGAAAAUAUUUUCUUUUUCUUUUUGUAAUUUCCUUAGUAUUACAUUUUUACAAAGUUCAGAACAUAACCGUGACUAAAUUCAUAAAAAUAAAACAAAAAGCCCAAAGUGCAAGAAAAUGAAAAACAGCACAAAAUAAUAUGCAGAAGAACAACAUAAAUUAUACCUUAAAAAUAUAGUUGUAGUAAUAUACCUUAUCCAUGUCUGAUCAAUUAAUAAUAAAUACUCAGAUAGCAAAUAACUCAUUCUAUUGCUUUGAUUGAGAUCCCCAAAUUUAAUUAUUCAUCUUAAUGCAAAUAAAUAGGGACAGCAGGUCUACUUAGAAAAAUCUUAACAAUCUCCUGUUUUCAUUGUACUAUAUAUAAUGCAAUGAAUGAAUAUAAAUAAAGAGUAUAAAGGGUACUUUGCUUCCUUACCUAUAAAGUAUUCAAGCAAGAUUAUUUUUUAAAGUAAAGUUAGAUUUGCAGAACCAAGAAAUGGUUAUGGAGCUAUGUAGCAUAAACAAAGACAGACUGGAGUUUAAAGACCAACUCUGCACACUGCCUGAAUAAUCUUCAACAAGUUACUUCACCUCCCUGGGUCUCAGUUUUUGUAUCUGUAAAGUGGAGGUAAUAGUAUCUAUAGUGCAGAUUGUUGUACUAAUAUCCAUUUGAAGUGCCUGACUUUUAAUAUAUUCUCAAUUAGUGACAGUUAUUAUUAUUAAUUCAAGAAAUAAUAUAAAAGUGUCCCAAAAUGAAAAAAAAAAAAACCUAACCAGAAAUAUUCUGUGAUCUCACUUUCCCAGGGGCUAAUAACAUGAUUCACAGAUUUUAUCCUUAAAAUGUUUCCUAUAUUGCAAAUUAAUGGCCUCAAAAUACAUGUUGAGAAAUCCCCUUUAUAUUAUUGGAGUUCACAGUUGAAUGAAUAAAUUUUGCCAAAACAAAUUAUUAUCAUAUUCUUUUGAAGAAAAACAGUACUUUGGAUUGAGCUCAGAUAAAUCUAUUUCUUCCUAUUCUUUCUGUACUAUUAUAACUGUACAAGUAUACAUACUUACGCAUAGAAGUGAAGGAGAAAGAAUCAAGAAUAACAGAAUUAAAUAUGCUUUUUAGGAUACAGAGAUGGUGCCCCCUGUUCAGCCCUGUGAUUCAUAUAUAGAAAAUGUUUAUUACAUGUUUGUUAAAUAAAUGGGGAGAAAAUUGCUAAGAAAAUAUCUGAAUAGCAUAAAGGAACUAGCUCAAAAAAUAGUAUAUACAAGUCAUCAGAGAGAGCUAAAAACUUACCUGUGGGUAUCAACAACUCUUUAAUUAGGUUGGUUUAUUGUGAAAUUACAGCCAUCUUUGUCCAGGACCACCAGUUCUUAGCUGAGGAGAUAACUAGGAGAGCUUACUGACCUUUAGUCAGAGAAAUGAGAUAUAUCAGAAAUGGAAGGAACUGUGAAGAUUUUCUAAUCCAAGGGGCAUAUUUUUCAGCUGAAGAAAUUGAAUGAUACUAAUACGCUUGGUGCCUAAGUUUGUUGGUUCUUGAACUUGAGUUUCCUAAUUUUGGUCUUGUUCAUUUUAUAGGGCGCCGGGUUGUCUUUGUGUUCCCUGACUGCCUGUUCUCCUUAUAUGCAUAGCAGCUUCUCUUCCUAUGUCCAGAACAGUACAGCAGAGUAUCUUGCUGUGCCUCUGAUUAGAUUCAUCUCCUCUAGUAUGUCAUUUUUCCAUAGCUCUUAAAAGGCCACAGUAGAUUUUUUAAAAUAUAUUCCAAGUGGACAUUAAUAAAAAAAAUAAAAAGCACUGUUCUUCUAUGAAAAAAUAAAUCAAAAUUUCAUGACAAAAUAAUUACAGAAUAACAAUAGUUAAUACAUUGUGUAUUAUAAUCUUUAAAAAAAAUGGCCAAAAUGUUACUCAGAGUUCAAGUCAUAGACAAAAAAGACUCUUAUAAAGAAGAAACAAACAAAUAAGAGCACAAAACUUUCUCUUUAAUGAAAUGAAUUAGCAUACAUAUUAAAAUAUUUUCAAAGCUACAGAAUAGAUCAUUUGGGAAUUAUUUGGACUUUUCCCUACUUUCUAUUUAUCUAUCUUCUAUUUUGAUAUAUUUUAUAUAUUUUUAAUUUUUUUAAAAAAAGAGAACCCAUGUGAUAUUUAAGCUUGUCUGUCUGGCUUAUUUCACUUACCUUUAUUCUCAUUAGUCACAUCCAUUUGCCUACGAAUGCCUCAAGUGUAUCUUUCUUUAUGGUAGACUUAGUAUUCCACUGUGUAUGCAUACCAAACUUUCUUUAUCCAUUCAUCUGUUGGCAGACAUGAAAAAUGCAAAUUAAAACUACGUUGACAUAUCUUCUUACCCCAGAAAGAAUGGCUAUCAUCAAAAAAAUCAAAUAAUAACAAAUGCUGGUGAGGAUGUGGGGAAAAAGGAACCCUUCUACAUUGUUGGUGGAAAUGUAAACUAGUGUUAACCACUGUGGAAAUCAGUAUAGAGAUUCCUCAAUAAAAUAAAAAUAAAAAUUCCAUUUGACCCAGCUACGUCAUCAUAUUACGUACAAGGAUACUUGCAUACCCAUGUUUAUAGCAGCACAAUUUAUAAUACCUAGGUCUUGGACAAAACAGAUUUUUAUCUGAUCUUUAAAUUCAUUUUUUAUUAAGAAAUAAAUUAAUAUAUUAAGUUUUUAACCAUUAAUAACUCAUAUAGAUAACCUUAGCUGUUUUUCAGGUGAUUAUUAGCUGGCACUAGAUAGGAUGGAGAACAAAGAAUUGUUAUAAUUUCAUUGGAGAAAAAGUGACAGGAGAGUUCUGUCCUCAAGGUACUACUGAGGGGAAGGCAAGGUCGGGCAGGCUGUGGCAGGAGGGUCUAGAGAACCCAGGAAGUCACCUAAGGAUUUGAAUCUUAGAAAAUAUUUUAAAAUGUAAGAAAUAAAAGAAGGGGUAGGUAAAAAAAACUUUGUAGAAGAGUACUGCAAGAAGAUUUGAUGAUUCGUUCUUGUGGUACAUCAUUUACUGUCUUUGUAACUUCCUUGCUCAGUGUAGAAGCCUUGUGUUCACAUUGUUUGUGUCCUGUUGCAACUUACUUGUACAUAGCUGCUGUAAAGUAAUGAUUAGAAUACCUGGAAUCAGGGAUUAAUGGCAUCUAUAAGGGAAGAAAUAUAGCUGUGUGGUAGGUAAAUAUCAUCUUUAUCCACAUAAAGAAUGAAAUGUGGCUAGCUGUUAAUAGUGAGUUAAACUGGCAUACCAAGAAUUUUUAUAAAUGGUUUUCCCAUGCUCCAUUGAAUCUGUGGCUUAGACUUUGGUUGUAUACCAGCUGUGCAUGCAAAAUCUCAUAAUUAUUCUUACUGUAUUAAGCAUUUUAUAGCAAUUUUAGCUCUAAAAUGCUAUGCAAUAGUUUUUAUGCAAGUAUACCAGACAUGUAAGCUGUUCCAAUGAAAACAUUUCCUUUCUUUUAGACACAUGGUUUUACGUUUCCAAACUUAGCUGUUUCCAUUGAUGGAAGAAUCUUUAGGACAGAAAUCUGGUUUUCUUUUUUUCUUUUUGUUUGGGGUGGAGUGGGGGGGGUGACAGUUGAAUUGUCUCUCAGUACUUUAUUCCUUUAUACAGCCUCAUCAGAAAAGGGACAUUUUACUAAUUGUAUAAUACUGAUAUUAACAAGUGUUGCUGCUGAGCACUAGUUCCUCCACCUGUCAUAUUCAGAAAGGUGCCAGUGAGGAAGCUAGACUGAUCUCUGAAUCCUUCCAGGGUACUGUGGUAAACAAGCAGAAGGACAUGGACUUAACCUCUUUGGAGAAGGCUGACACCUUCAACACUGCUGCACAUGCAGCUGCGCCCUGCAGUGGCAAGUCUUGGGUCUGAGCCCAAAACUGGUGUGGAGUUUGAACCCUUGGCAUUCUGGCCUAGGGCCAAGUGCUAUCAAUGGAACCCCACUGACACCUUUAGUUAUUCUUCCUAGAUUAGGAUAGUAAUUUACUUGUCUCUUUGAUUUCAAGUGUCUGGUUUUGUUUCCAGAUGCCUCCCAGUUCAUCUGUAUUCCAGGGGUUUCAAAAGACUUUAACCUCAUUGGUUCUUUCUUUUGUUAGUUCCAUUUGGUGAACACAGGAGGGAUAUAGAGAGACUAGAGAGGCAAGGGAGGGCGUGUGUGUGUGUGUGUGUGUGUGUGUGUGUGUGUGUGUGUGUGUGUAAUGUAGGAGGAUGGGGGGGGGCUUGGGGAAACUGCAGGAAUAAAUGAAAGGCAUAUUCACUUUCAAAAUAUCAGCUAUUAUACCAGAGCAAGUCAGAAUGGAGUUUAAGAGGUGAUAUGCAGGACAAUGUAAUGAAAAAUGUUAUUAGAUAGGUGCAUGUGUAAAAGCCCUCCAACCAGCAGUAAUCUCAAUCUCUCCCAAACGAUUACAAUAUAUGAAAGAGAUGGAGAGACCAUAGAAAUUUUAUCCCAAUGCCAAUAAGGUAACAGCACUUGGAUUUUAACAUGUGAUAGUAGGAAAAGGCAUUUAUGCAUGGGUGUCAUUUUAUGUUUACAAGGGCCUGUCUAGCACUGUUUAUUGAUUUUACUGCAAUUUUUCCCCAGGACCGUGUAGAUAGAUAAUUGCUAGAAAUGUCCAUCAUUAACACAGCAACAAAUGCAACCAUUGCACUAAGAAAAAGAUACACAUAGGACCCUGUUAGCAAGCCUCAAAUGGGGAGGAGGAGAGUCACACAAUAACACGUGCAGCUAUAACUCCAGGCAAACACACACGCACAACACCCUGUGUAGCCAUUGCACUGAGAAAAUACACACAGCCCCCUGUACAGCCAUCACACAUCAGGAAAAUAACACACAUGACACCCCUGCGCAACCAUCACACCAGGCAAAAGCACAGACAUAAAAUGCUAAGUCAAUAGGAAUGAACAGCUCAUAAAAGCCUACUGGAAUAGAUCACAUCACAGCCAGGUACAUCUGUUCUCAGCAUUAACCAUUAUCGUUAGCUUAAAAUGCUUAAAAUCACUGCACAUCCUCAGGUCUAGGGACAGAUUAUUCCAAGAAGAUUCAGCUAAAUAGACUUGGCAAUUCAGUGAAGGGGACCUCUACUACAUUAAAGUGAUGCAUUUUGCAUCUCAAAGGCUGUCAACUGUAUUUAGGGGAACCGUGUGAUUGAAGAACAAUGCUCCACUAUAGGAUAGCAAUUUUUUUUGGUCCUUCUAAACCUGGAGGUGAUUUUUUACCCCAACUUGUGUUAAGCAUACCAUUGAAUGGGUAGCUCUCAAAUUGGGAGGUGACUAAUAAAAGCAGAAUUGGAAAUAGCUUUCAACUUGUGCUGCAAAGGAAGCCAUGACAUUCUUAUUUAAACUGGAACUCUCAGAUGGUGUAUCAUAUCUAAAGAUUUUAGUGAGGUCAGACUUCAAGCCAUCAAUUUGAGAUAAAUAAGUACCAACUACAGUCCUUGCUUCAGAGGGUUGUCUGCCCCUCUGGGGGGAAUAAAGGAACCACCCACCUCUUCAUUCACCAGUGCCUUCUCUUUAUCCUCUUGCCUUGGUCUGUGAUGUUAUCCGAACUGUGUGACACAGAAGUUACCACAUGGCAAGGGAAACUCGGCAUGCUUUUCUGAAGAGUGGCCCAAAAGAACAGGUCAGAAAGAGUUUCAAGCUUGCAGUUCUAUCUUUCAAUUAGGGUGGCGUUUUGUGUUUCUUCUGAGUGAGAGAAGUUUCAAGCUAGCUUGUUAAGAAUGAUUUACACCAUAAUUCUAGGAAAAACAAAUGUGAGUGACUGAAAUUUGAAAGGAAAGAGUAGGGGGAAAGUGCUAGACCAAACAAAUCUUAAGUAAAUUGGGUGGUUUUUUGGGUGGUGGUGGUGGGUUUUUCAUUUGUUUCUUCACUUUUUUUGACAAAAGUGAAAAUAUAUGUAUUAUUGGUAAUUCUCUCACCUGGAUGGAAUGAAGAAACAGAAAACAGUUGCUCCAUUUGCUCCAUGUAAAAGCAAAUUUUCAGGAGAGGACAGGUGUUUCCCUUAAAUUCUCAUGAUAACAUCUUGCUGAGAAUGAGCAAAACUGGAAAUGAGAACUAAGAAUUCUACUUAGAUAUAUAUUUUUACCAAAUGUGGCAGAAAAGGUUUUGUUAGGGUAAGAGAUAAGCAUUUUCCAUAAGACAAUACACUAGUGACAUGAGGUAAUUACAUGGUGACUGAGACACACUGCAUGGUAUACUGGAGAAUUUCAUGAUACCUACGUGAUAACUAUAGUAACUCUAGUUAUCACUACCAUAUUAUCUCCUGAUAACUAUAUAAUUAGUUUGUGUCAUCAAAGCACCCUAAACGUAUGCCUGUUCCAGCUACUCUGGUAGAAAAAAUUAACUUUUUUUGCAAAGGGGAAAAAAAGCUAAUGAAGAAAGUUGCCAAGAACAGAUAUUUUGUAAUCUGUGCUAAAUCUCUGCUGGAAAACAUGAACAGUAAUGAAGCUGAGAAGACAGUAAAAGAAAUUCGGGGCAAGGUGCCAGACGCCCAGACGGAAGGAGAAUGUGGACCAAAAGAUUGCGACAAUCGGGUAAUUAUGGUUUAUGAAUUUCAGCUUUAAUCUGUAGUUCAGUGAGUCCUGAUUAAAUAUCUGUUAAACACAAUUAAAGUUUGUUUUUGUAUUUCACCGUCUUGAUCAGAAUAAUUAGAGACUGCGUGUUUCAUGUCAAAAGUAGCAAGAGGAAUUUUAGUGAAUGAACAUCGUUUUUAAAAGCCAUUUGUAGCACCAGCUGUUGGCAUUAUUUUAUAUUUUAGUGUUAUCAGCAUAAAGAUGGUCCUCUGGAUGCUGAAUAGUUUCCAGCAGGACAAGGAUGUUGUGCAGAUCAAAUGGGCCUGUGCUGAUGAGGCAUACGCGUUUAGGGGCUGGAAACUGCUGUGAACAGUGGGCAGGGGAGAUAUAGGUCAGAGAAGAAGAUACUUUAGGUGUAAGAAGAAGAAUGCUAUUUGAGUUGAGUUUACCCAACCAAGGAGCUAAGGGAGGGAAUUUCUUAUGGUAUAGUCAUUCGUGAUAGCAACUGCAGGUGCUGUAUGGCUUACUUGAGACAGGUUGUGUACAGUACCCGAAGGAAAGGCUAAAAUUGAUGUGGUGAGAAAGUAAGGCUCUGUCCUGGUCGGUCCUUGGCUAAAAUUUUGUGGCAUCUACUCCUAGAGUUGGUAGAAGGAAGUGCUGAAAGUAUAUACCAUAUUAAUAAUUCUAUGUCUGAAUUCUGCACAAAGGACAUGUUGAAAUAUAAAUAGAAUUAAAUAAACCAGGAUAAAGGGGAUAAAAUAAGGCUCUACAAACUAAAACCAAAACUAUGAUUUCCAUGAACUUGUGCCAAAAUAGAGACUGGGGAGUUGUAAAUUAUUCUCUAAAUUGUAUGAAGGUAUAUGUAAAAAUCUCUAUGCAGUUUACCAUGGUAUUAGAUUUAAAGAAGUAAUAAUAUACUAUCUCGCUUGCUAUUUGAAAUUUGGAUACCUGGAAUAUUUUAGUCCCUGUGACAAUAUAGACUAAUGGUUCCCAACAAAGUCCACGUCCUAAUUCUCAGACUCUGUUACUUUAGAUGGCAAAGGGACUUUGCAGAUGUUGUUCAAGUUGAGGAUUUUUGAGAUUUGAAGGUUAUCUCAGAAUAUCUGGGCAGGCCUAAUAUAAUUAAAAGAGUCCUUCUCAAUGAAAGUGGGAGACAGAGGAGUCAGAGUCAGAGAAGAAUAUGAAAGAGACAGAGAUUCAAGGGUGCUGCAUUUCUAUUUGAAGGUUGAGAAAGAAGCUAUGAAUACAGGUGGCUUCCAGAAACUGGGAAAGUCAGAGAAAGUGAUUGUCCCCUGUCUCCCUGAGAAAAAAUGCAUCCUAGCUGGCAUCUUAAUUGCAGACUUCUCACCUCCAAAACUUGAAUUAAUUUGUGCUUUUUAAGACAUAAAGUUUGUGAAAAUUUGUUAUAGCGUCAGACUUCUUCACAGACUUCUUCACAGACUUAAUAUCUGUUUAAAAGUUGCCUAGAUAAAAGUGCAUCCAGGUACGAGAGAAAUUACAAAUCUCUGUGAAUUUAACUUUAUAAAGCCCAUUUCCCAGGCUGUCUUUGUAGCACCACUUAGAGUUACCUGGUGUAGUAAAAAUUAAAGUCUGUCCAUUUUACAGUAAAAUCAAGGGCAACUUCAGCUCCGUCUUUCUAGCAGCACAGUUCACAUAAGUAGAAGUGUCUGCAGCAAGGGAGGAUUGUAGAGUGUAAAUAAUUUUUCUGACAACUGUAGCAGCACUUAUCAUAGGUUGAACCACUGACUUUGCUUAUAUUUGAUCAUUUUUGAUUUACAGAAAUGACAGUUUCAUAUGGCUCAGUAUUCCAAUAUAAUCUCAUUUAAACCUUAGAUCCUUCGUGGGUAUUCUAGGAUAAUAUUAAUUUUUUCUUAAUAUUAGUAAAUGUUAUGAGUCAUGAGGAAGUUAAGCUAAUAAAAUGCUUUGUUUUCCACAUGUUCAGUUAAAAAUAAAAUUAAAUCUCAAGUAGCUGAAGAUAUGUUAGCAGAGUGGAGGAUGCAGGUAUAUAUUUUGUAUGCUAUUCCAAAAGGGGACAGUAUGAAAGUCAUCAGAUGGAGGGAGGAGGAAGGAGAGAAGAGGAAGGGGAUGUGAAAAGAAUUAAGAUGUGUUAUGUACAUGUAUCAACUCCCUACAAUUAGUGGAAUUAUUAUGUACUGCAAACAUGUACCAAUAAAAAUUUCAAAAGAAAAUUAUAGGGGAAAAUGACCAUAACCAUAUGUAAACACUGUAUAUGAUGAAAAUUUGCUACCUAGCAUCUUCAUGUUCAAAAGUGCAUAUAAUACUACAGAAGAAGAUAGCUUAGUCAGGAUGCAUAUCCUGGUUUUAUCAUUUACUAGCAAGUUAAAUAACCUCCUUGUACCUCAUUUUCUUUCAUCUGUAACAGCAAUAUAAUAAUAUCUAAUUUGUGGGCACAUUUGCUAAGACGGUUAAAUGAGAUAAUAAAAAAUACAAAGCACUUAGAAAGGGACCUGCCAGGUAGUGAGCACUCAAUAAAUGUUAGCUGCUGAUGCUGUUAGCUUAAUGAUCCUCCUCAUCUACUGGAAAGCAGCAGACUCCUUGGAGGCUUUACAAAGAAAAAUAGGCCUUGUUUAUUGUUAAUUAUUAAAUUUAGGGAAACUCCUCUUUUUACUUACCAUACCAAUAUGGUAUUUCUAGUGGUAAAACCCACUCUUAACUCCUCUGGUAGUGUGUGGGAAAAGUAUCAGUUAUCUUAGUCCCUGCUUAGAGGACUCGUAUAUUCAAAUUACAUUCUCAUAGAAAAGGAAAACAAAUUUUAAAACAGGACACAAAAACUACGUUAAAGCUGAUAAGUAUAAAACUUGACCUGCAAAUUAGAGUUAUGUAUGUUCUUUCAUACUGUCUAUCUUGUGCCUGAUAAUCACUUCUUCUCUCUUCUCUAAUCUUCAAAGGCUAAAAUAACAUACCUGAAAUUAAAAGAAUACUGUGAAUAUAAGUAAGCAUAGUGGUCUUUCCUUGGAUCAAGAAUACUGUUAGAAAGACAGCCUUUGUCUUCUCUUCCUUCAAUUCUUCAUUGGACCACACAACCCCUCCUCCAUCCCCCACACCCAACUCCAAGGAAGGCUAGGCAUAUCUCAGAGUUGGUGUAGGAGAUAAGAACAAGGCUACUCAGAUGGUGCUGCGAUUUACAUAGGCAUUCCUUGUCCAAAAAAACAGUUUAAACCAGGAACCUUCCAAUCUACCCAAGGAAAAUUAAGAGAAUUGGUUACAAUGGUAUUGUUUAAAAGAUUCCCAAUCUCUUUUGACUUAAAUUUCCAUUGAUCAUCUGAUGAAAAUGGUGGGCCCUCAUCCCAGAAGAAUGCAAUUUCUUUUCAAAGGAUUUACAUAUGCCCCUCAAGCCUAUAAAUGGGCCUCCUGUUAUUAUCCAUGUUUUACAGCUGUGACCUAAGGAAAACUGAGCUUGUCUGAAUGGGCUGACAAAAUUUGAGACCAGAAUUGUGCAAUACUUAUUUACCACAUGAUUUUUGACCAGCCACUAAUGUAUACUGAAGUUCUGUCUUUUAAUUACUAAAAGUAGUACAUUUGAUACUAAUGUGCUAAGAAAAUAACUAUUUCCUUCUAAAGCAUUUUGAGGUAUGUUUAAAGAACUACCAAAAUAAGGUUGCUGUAUAGAGGAGCAAAAGGGAAGUAAACCCAACUAACUUUUUUAGAAGUCUAAAGCUGAAGAUAUAAAGUAUCUCAUAGCAUUGUAAGAUAUUGUCUCAUUGCCUUUGAGAAGUCUCAUAUUGAGCAGCCCAGGGAGCAGAAACUGAUUUGCGAAGUGUAGCACCUCCUUUAUCUUUGCUCAUCUACAGGUUUGUAUUUUGGCUAAAACUGUUUAUCUUGAAAGGAAGAGGAAAAGGAAAUGUGAACACAGUCUGAUGAUAUUUGCAAAUAAAGAAGUGUUAUUUGGAGGGUUGUAGGAGGACUGCUAAAGUAACUGAGUCAUCAGCAACCAGAAACUUCAAUAGGUAAAGAAAUCGUUGAGAAUAUGAACCCAUUUUACUAAGGUCCAUCACAUGUUGACCUCCUCUGUUUCCAUAAGACUGUCUAAAAUCAUAUGUUAUCUAUUUUUUUCUGUGAUUUUUAAAUACUGAUUUUAAUGUCCUGCUUUUUUAACACCCUCUUCUCCUCAAAAUAGUUCACCAAGAAGAUUGCCUAGACUGAAUGGAGGGAAUAAACAUCAGAAAAGGAAGAAAUUCUAUUGUGUUUGUUGAGAAAGAAAGCAACCUCAAAAAAGUGGUGGAGAGGGGGUUAGAGAGAAAAAAGAAAGAAAAAAAGGAGAGAAGGAAACAGGGGAAAAGUAAGAAAAGAUGCUUGAGCUCAAUAGUUGGGUAUCUUGACUUGUAGAAAAGACAAAACUUAGAGCCUUCAAGUAGCAAAACUUAGAGCCUUCAAGUCUUUGAAUACUAGUUUUUAUUUUGUGUUUCAAAUUUGAACAAACUUUCAAUAAAUCAUAUACAUAAUCUGAUUAUCUUGCUUAAACUUUCAUUAAACUCAUCAAUUUUGUGAAACAAUUUGAAAGCAUGGGAGACCCCCAAACUCUCUUACGUUAGCAUGUAUCAUGAUCCAGGCUGCAGAUUUUCUUAACUCUUCUCAUCCCGGUAGGGGACCACCACCCUUCUCACCUGAAUGUACUUGGGCAGGUUUCACAUUGUCCAUGCACAGGAAGCCAGUUCUUUGGAAAUUUCUACAGUGAUGACGUUGUCCAGAAAACUUGAUGGAAAUGAAGUCUCUAUAACUGCUAGUUUUCUGCUUCAGCCUUUUUCAGUACAAAGUUAUUUUAUCAGGUCUUUCUACUUGACCACCUUUAAUGAAGUUUAUUUUGCAUAUUUUUGGAUGCAUUCUGUGAGUGGUUAAAAAUCAUCGUAUCAGAGAGACAAGAAUUCAAUCAGUAUGUGUGAAGUCCUUGAUAUGUUAUAGUGGGGACUUAACUAGGAUAACUUGAUUUAUUUUUCUCACUCCGAUUAUUUGGCUCAUUAAUUUCUUACAAAUUUUUUGUUACCCUGUUUGUUUCCUUCUAUAAGAAAAUCCAUCAAAAUAACGGUGGACAGACCAGUCCUAUGAUAAGUUGUUUGGCAUAUGAUUUAAAGAUUCUAAAGGAGAAUUUUUAGAUUUUAAAUAUAGAAUGGGGAAAUGUUAAUCUCCACUCCUACUAUGCCUAUAAUUUUUAUCAUUAGAGAUGAGAUUGCAGGCACAAACACUGCAGUUUAAAAUCACUUUGUCAUAUUACUUCCUACUAGGCUGGUGAGAUGGGUGGAGGAGGCAGGAUCAGAGUGGGAAGCCAGGACACUGAGGCCAACUUGGCCAAGUUCUCAGUGUUACUGAAGGUCAGCAACCCAUGGACGUGCCAAGCUGUCUGGAGGAUCUGUGAGGAAUUUAUGCUACUGAAUUUACCAUUAAAGAACCAAAUUUUUAUUAGGAUUUAACUUGUCUUUGCCAAAAUUGGCUAAAGUUGAUGAGGUCCUAUGUGUAAGCACAGCUUUUACCUAUUUUAGUUAGUGCUCCCCAUUAGAACUUUUUGCAGUGACAAAUGUUCUGUUUCUGUGCUGUCCAGUAAGGCAGCCACUGACCACAUGUGGCUGUUGAGCCCUUGGAAUGUGAUUAGUGUGACUAAAUUUAACUAAAUGUUUAGGUUUUUCCAUUAAAUUUUCAAGAAUUUAAAUUUUUAAAAAGUAAUGGACUGGUGGUUGUUGUGUUGGACAUUAUGGUUCUAGAACAGAUACGUUCUGACACAGAUCAGAAUCAAAUUGACUAUGAAAGAUCUUGGCAUUCCUUGUGCUGGGAAGUACUGUGUCAGUUGUCAUAGCAAGGGUCACAGCUUUGGAAAUUUUAUGUGAGGCUGAAUCUCUUUUAUUUUGAGCUACAAGUGACAAAAUGGUCUCCAUUGAGAAAAAAGAGUUCCACUGACACUUAGACUUGUUUUUCUUUUCCCCACUGUAUCAUUUAGUUUUGUGUUUAAUUCCUUGGUUUUUUUCUUUGUUUUUCAGUUCCUUGACCAUCAGUUUGUCACCUGCCCCUUCUCUUUAUGUAAGUAAAAGUGGUUUAUUUACCUUUUAAAAAGUUAUGUCAGAUUUGGGGAAUUUUGGUCUUUAUUGACAUCUUUGCUAGCUGACUUGGCCUCUAGCAUUUGUUUGGUGUGUGUUAGCUUCUUUCGUGUUUGGAGUUGAGGCUGUUGGUAGUAGUGGUAUGUUACCAUCCAGGUGGGAGCUGAAAAGACCAGCAGCCCAAGCUCCUGUUCCUAUAUAGACUGCCCUGUACUUGGCCAUGUUGCUAAUUUCAAAGGUCACUGCUCUUCUAAACUGCGGCUUACGUUUUUCUAUCAGUUAUCAGCCAUGAGUUGGGCUAUCAGUGAGUGCACAAUUAUUUAUUCUGCAGUUACUCACCUAUCUAUAGAUCCAACAGUUUUUAAUUUUAACUCCUAGAUCAGAGAUGUCUUUUUACUAAGGAGUAUAAGACAGAAAAUUGAAUAGACUAAAUUUUUGUGCAAAAUUUUUAAAGUUGGGGGAGAUUAAAAGAAAUCUAGGAUUCAUAUGUGCCAAUAGGCAUAUAAAAGAUACCAUUGUAUUUUAGAAAAAAAUGAGAAGUUAUUUGGGAAAAAAACAUUUGAUUUUAAGUGAAAAAAUUUUUUAUUGUUGUUAUUAUUAAUAGAACCAAACCAGGCUAAACUGCUAGGGUUUGGGUUUGAAUAUAUAUUACUCUGAGUUUCUUGAAAGAGGUUCUGGGGCAGCAAAACCAAAAGAUCAAAGUCAGUACAAGAGACACUGCCCAAGAAAUCCUACAGUGAGUGACAGUCACCUGAUGUGAUAAAUAAUCAUCAGCAUCCUUCUGGCUGCAUCUCACCCUCUGAUGCAUAUUGUCCAUUAAAAAUUAUGUCUUAUUUCACUGACUCUUUACUCCAAAGUAUUUCAUGUGUUGUAAUCAUCUGUACAAAGAGGAGGUUAGCAUGGCUUUUUUCCUUAUGUGUAGCUUCCACUAAUAUUCUUAGGAGCUAAUAGCAAAUAUAUUUAGGGGACCUGAGUCCUCCAAAGGAUUUUAAGGCUAAAGUCUAGUUUGACAUUUUAUUUGACAGAGAAAGGCUGGUGCUAUAUGUAAUGCAUUCAUACAGCAGGGGUGGGUCCUACCUUCCCCUGACACGUCUUGUUAUUCCCUGUUCUUGAUGUUGAUAGAGUAGGUCUGUUAAGGCUUUGGAAGAUGUCAGUGUGCAUACUUAUUGUUACCACUUUAUUUAUUUACAUCCUUCUCCUCAGUUACCCAGCACUGCAUAUUUCUAGUCUUCUGACUGGCAAAUCAUUUUUUGUUACAGUUCUUUUGUGUAAAACCAGUUCACAUAAUAGCUCUGUGUUAGACAAGGCAUUAAUCCUCACAUCACCAGAAUGAGUCAGCACCAUGCACUCCUGCCUGCACAGCUCAGCUAUUAUGACGUCAGUGCUUGAGGGCAAGCUUCAGACACAAGCAGUAUGAGAGACCUGUGUCACCUAUUAAAAAUCGAGGAGGAGAACUUUGAGAUAAAAGAUAUAAUUGAAAGGCUGUGUCUGGCUCAUAGAAAAAUGUAAAAUUGAUUCUGUGCUGCAUCAACCAUCAGUCAAGCAGCUUCUUGAGAGAUGGAAUUUUUUUAACCAGAUAUAAGAGGAGGGCAAAGACCUAUGGUAACUUGAUAAUCCGUUCAUAUACUCAUGACCUUGUCCCACCCUGGGACAUAGUUCAUGCUUGCUUGAAUUUUUCCAAAUUCUGAGGUUGCUUUUAUGCCAGCAAGGUGACGGUCCUGCUGUCCUCAAAUGCCCUGUGGUUGUGGCUGAUGGCUUCAGGGAUUGAGCCUCAGAGGCCCAUCAGAAAAAAAGGAACCAUUUCUUGCAAACAGAUCAGAACAUUAUCUCACCAGUGCUUCUCACUCCAAGUGCCUCUUCAGUGGCCUUCUCUGGAUAGGUGCAGAAUUCAGCAGUUUUGACCUCCCUUAGGCACUACAUUUAGUCCAAUGUCCCAAUCUGCAUUUGACCCCAAUUUCAAUAGUAACUGAAUAGCUGCCAGAUUUUUCCCAAGAGUUUUCCUUUCAAUUAGUCUUUUACAGAAACAAACAAACAAAUAAAAAGGAAUCCACCAUAACCUACCGUGCUGUUUUGAAGCAGGUAGCAGAGAGUCAUCCUAUGUGGGAAACCCUGUUCUUAUAAGUUAGGCCUCUCCACAGUUCAGACUGAGACACAUCCUUUAGACAGUGCCUUUCAGUAUUGAAAACCACAUUGUAAAUGGUGAUAAUUUACUGCCUUAGUGAUAUUCUCUGCUUUAAAAAAAGACAUUCCGGGCUAGGGAUUUAGCUCAGUGGUUCUGCCACAUUCCCCACAAGCACAAGGACCUGAGUUCAAUCCCCGGUACCAAAAAAAAAAAAAAAAAAGACAUUCCUCCAUCGCAGCAUCCAUGUCCCUGCCUUACUCUUACCCCAGCCAAUUAAUCACCAGCCUCUUUGAUAAUCAUCAGAAAAUGCCUUACUGCUGGGCUCUUCCACCUUCAUUAGAUUGAUAAUAGUCUCCUACCAUGCUUAUAAAAGCUAAUACUACUGUUUGGCUUAGUUUUGAUUCAUUAUGCAUAGAUCUUUAUUUUGUUUUCAGUUAACCAAUGUUUAUGGAAAACUUGUUACUAUACUAUGUUCUGGGAACUCCAAAAUAAAUAAGACAUGAUCCUUUUUAAAAAAUGUUACAGUAUAAUAGGGGAGAAAAAUAAGUGAAUAAAGACUAUCUUAUGUGAUAGGUGUAGGAGUGUAGGUACACCCAAGAUGUAUGAAGAAGAAUGAGAAAGGAGUGCCCGUCUGCAUGUGGGGAGGUGUCCAAGAUGAUUCUUAAAGUCAAAACAAUGAAUAUCAGUAUACCAGCUGGAUAGAGGAGAGGUAAAAGGAAGAGGAUUCAUAAUCAAGUAAAACAUGAGAACAUUUAUAAAGUCAAGAGGCAUCAAGUUAUAGCCAGGUCCAUAGGACUGAUUGGUUUUGUGUUGCUGGAGCUCAGUAAGUUGAUUAAAAGAGUAGCAUAAGAGAUGGAGGUGGGAAAGCAGGCAGGGGGAAGAUCACAAAAGGCCCUUGUAUACCAUGCAAAGGAGUCCGGACUUCCUUCUUCAGGCUCAAAGAGAUUUUAAAGAAUUUAAAGAAAAUUUACGUUUUGGAAAGAGCACUCUAUUGUUGAGAUGGCUGACUGAGAAUAGGGAAACCAGGUCAAAGGUGAAAACCAAGGGCCCCAACUGUUCAGUUAGGUCUGGAGUAGAACAGAGAGGCUAUUUGGGAGUAUUGACAUAGGCAUUAACAUUUGCAGAAUUCCAGCAUAUCUUGGCCCACUGCAUAAACCUGCCUUCUAGGAGAAAGGUUAAUAUGUUGAAUGAGGCCAAAUUUCAGACCAAAAUACAUCCUUAUGGGAGCUUCACGGGAGAAUCUCUCUCACCUUACUCUGAGCUGCUGGUCUCCAGGAUUGUGCGUAUCCUGCCCAAAGUAGGCAUGAGGCAAGAGGAAAGGGAGCAGAUAAGAAGAAAAUGUUGCUUUUCUUUCACCUGAAAAUCAAACCAUUUCCUAAUAAUGUCUCCUUAAAGUCAGUUAAUGCCCCAAUUUCCUAUUGUUUUCCCAUUGCUGCUUUUUCCAAGCAGAAUUUUCAAGCCAUUGAACUGAAUUGCAACUUAUGCACAGCCCGGGUGUUGAAAUAGUAAAGUAUAUUCAUCCCUUCUCUCUGAAUGAGAGUUCACCAUAAGUGUGCUUUUCUCUUGUUCACUUUGGGCUUCCAGGACAGUUUAAAGGAAAUGUUCAACAGCUUAUGUCUCACGUACCCUGUUCGCGAGACAAACGGGAAGAUUUGCGUGGGUGUGUUUAAGUCUUCUCUAUAUUGCUUCCUAGAGAAAGGUUUGAGAAGAUGAACAAGAUGGGGAGUAGGGACCUACUGAAAGCCCAGGUCUCUCAGUGACCUGAGUGCAGAACAUAGGCUGGUGAUCAGAUGGUCAAUUAUGUGUUUGUCAAAACACAGUGGGCUGCAUUCCAGAUUGCCAGCUUUGGAGGCCCAGUUUCUGCCAACCAAAUGUCAUCUGGGAACAUGCAACACUGGGCACUGUGAAGGAGUUUGAAAUAGACCACGCCACAGCCAACCUACUGCCACUCUUAUAGCACCAAUAUGGCAUGCACAGCCGGGCCCCAUGUUUCAGAGCUCAGGAAUUCACUGUACUAAAUUCAGGAGGUCAGAUGGGUUCAUGUUUUCAAAGCCUAUGUUCUCUGCUUUGAACACUGUGACUUGCUGCUCAACAAUUUCCAGGGGAUUUUUCCAGUCCCCUGUCUGUGGAAACCACUCUUUUUGUGAUGGUUAUGAGAGCCUUGUAAAUGUCCUGGAGGAAAAGGAAAAAAAUAAACUUGCUCUGACAAUGACUGUGAUUCCUACAAGGGAUUCCAACUCUUAGGAAAUUACAUUAAAGGUGCAUAGCUUUUAAAAUAUCAGGAACCACCUUGGCAACUUAUGAAAAGCAGAAGGGCUUUGCCUAUUUUAUAAAGUGAUUUGCAUAUACCUGCAUAAAUAAUGUCCCCACCUGUACUUUUAUGCAUUUAGGUUGAAUAAAUUAAAUUCAGUGAUCUUUAAAAUAUUCACUGUCUUUCAUUGCUAAGACUCCAUUUUCAGGACCCUUCUCUCUUUUUUUUUUCUUGUAGUGGUAGUGGCUUAUUUUUUUUUCCCAGCUAAUUCAGAGAAUCAAAACACUGUGCAGACCAGUCUACCACAGCCAGGAGUAUCGUCUCCCGCUGCUUGAAUUUCCCUUAGUUUUCUAUCUAUCGAGCCAUGUCCCAUAUACUUUUCAAGCUAGAAAAUGGAGGAAUAUAUUACUAAGAUGAAAGCAUGGCACAAGAUAGGAUUAAGCUCUGCUACCUAUAUGUAUAUUCAGACUUUUCUUUCUUUGAGCACUGCCAUAGCCCCUUCAGAAACAAUCCAGCUACCUAUCCCAUAACAAUUUUAAGUCGGGCCUUCAAACCGAAGCCUGGCUCAGUAGGCCAGUCUCAGCCACAGUCAUUCCAUAAGAUAUUAUUAAGCACUUAUUAUGUACAAAGAAUCAUGUCUAGUGGAGAAUUAAAACAUAAAUACAGGAUAUUGACCUUAUUGUAAAUGAAUUUGAAAUUGAGUUAGAAAAGAAGUUAUACUGUGGAGUAUUUUGUAUGUUCAUAAGACGGUAAAUGUUGAAGUUGCACAAAGAAUGAUUUAGUCCAGGAGGAACUAUAAGAUUUCAUUCUUGAGAUCUUGAGAGCUAGAAAUUUACAUAUAAAUGUAAAAUGUGAUUCAAAUCGAUCUUUAAAAGUGGCUAGAAUGCAAAAAAGAUAUGGAGAAUGAUAUUUCAAACAAAAGCACUGGGAUCUUUGAGCAGGUCUAUAAGUAGCACUGUUCUUCUUCACCCAAAUUCUAAACCCACUGAAAAAUGAGACAAAAGAAUUGAUAGCUGGGGAAUCAAAAUUCUGUAAAUGUUGGUUGAAGAGUAUAGGAAAAUGGGCUCACUGACUCCCUUCCCUUCACCAUGAACUUUGAAAAACUUUCCUAAGGGAUAAUUUGGACCUUCAUAUAACCAAUACUUUUCCAGGUCAUAAUUCCCACUAGUCUAAGUAGUAAAGAAGGGAGAAUGAGGCUAAACUGUACUUACAAACUGAUAGAUCAAUUCUAUGUAAAUGAGAAAUAUGGACCACAGGCUGUUUUACCAACAAGAUGAUUUGUUUCUAUGGAGAAGUAUAAGGAAUGAGGCAAGAGGUAAACAGUGUUCAGAAAACUUGUUUGUGGAAACUCGGAAUAAGGAAGAUAUAGUCUUAACCAACAUGAAGAUCCACAAGCUGGAAAAUAGGAGCAAGUGAGAUGAACUAGAAGUGGGAUGAAAAUGCAGAACCAAGAGGCUAGAAAAUUUUUUCAUCUGUCUAAGGGGUACCCCUGGGACUAGAAUCAGCAGUCAUUGUGGUUAGCCAAGUGGUUAUACUGAGGACUGCUUUUGGGUGUCUCAAAGUUAUUAGCAACAGAACCUGGAGUAACAGGCAAACAUAAAUAAAUAAAUAAACCUAUUAGGAAAAGAAACACAAACACUUGUAUCUCUUAUUAAACUAAUAACAACAAUAGGACAUAAUGUGGACAUAACAUUUAUUGAAUACUUGCCUUGCUUUUGGUACUAGAUUAAAUACUUUUAAUGGCUAUCUGAUUUAAUUUAUAAAGCUAUAAUAUUAUGUAGAUGCUGUUAUAAUAGUUGUGCAGAUGAAGAAAUUGAGAUUUAGUAAUGUGAUUUUCUCCAGUAGUUCAGUGACCAACAUGAAAAGACAUAAGAAAUGUGUAUUUCAGUUCAAAUUAUGGUGGGGUUUCACCAGUGUUUGUAGACAGGAAUUGCAGUUUUAGUUUUUCUUUUUUGUUGUUUUUGUUUUUGUUUCCCAUCUUUGGUUCUAGCUGAGGCCAGUGUAGAAGGGCAGUGAAAAGGCUCAGCUAAAUUAUCCAAGCAUUUAUUGGGACCUACAUUGUGUGUGAUCCAGAAAAUACUUAGAUGAAUAAGGCACUAUCUCUGCCUUCAAAAAGCUCCCAAUCUAGGGUGGUCUGAAGGCUGCCAUCUGGCCCAAGAGACUAGGAGCAGUUGAUUAAUCUUUGCUAAAAGACAAGAGGACUCACAUCUCCCUUUUCUUUUUCUUUCUUUUUUUUUUUUGCUGGCUCCUUCCCUUCCUCUACUCUCCCUACCCUUUCCAUUCCCAGUCAUUGUUUUUUUUCCUCAAAAAAUAUCUCUCUGCCUUGUUGCCAAGCCUCUAAUAAGCUUCAAGCAUAUAUGAAUGACAAGUCUGAUUUUUCUCACUAUCAUUUUGCUAAAAUUUGACCAUUUAGAAGCAAUUAGAUCAUCUACUUGAAGUGGUGUAUAGCAUGAAUUUUCUCUAAAUUUUCAGAGCUGGCAUCUAACUAUUCAAAAGGUUAUUUAAGAGGAAAUGAGAGAUGAAGGAUGGGUAGGUUGGAGAGAGAAAAAAAGGAAAGAAAGAAGGAAAGGAAGGAGGAGAAAAAUGUAGGAAAAGAAAGAAGGCUAAUUACAGAAGACUUUUAGGGAGUUCAAAAUGGAACUCUGAUUUGAAAUGAAUAAAUGAGUUUCUGUCUCUAGUGUUGAUCUAAACCAUCAGCUUCCAGAGUGGAAACCUGAAGCAACCAGAAUAUUAUAGAUUGAUGAAAUUCCAGCUGCUGGCAGAUUUUUUUUUAGUUUUUAAAAAAAAUCAUAUUAGUACAUAUGUGCAGUAUAUGAUGAUUACAUUCCUUACAUGGAGUUGAUACAUGUCCAUAACACGUUUUAAUUUUUUCACCCCCUUUCCUUUCUCUCCCUUUGUACUCCCUCCAUCUCUUGAUUCCGUUCCCAUUUAAGAAAGAUCUAUCUUCCUCCUUUCUAUUGUCAAUCUUUUAUUUUGCACUUUAUUUAUAUUUUAAGUAAAAACCAUAUGACACUUAAACUUGUGUGUCUACUUUAUUUAACUUAGCAUUAUCCAUUUCCCUACAAAUGACCUGUUUGUGCUUCCUUAUGGCAGAAUAGUGCUCCAUUGUGUGUAAAUGCUACAUUUUCUGUACCCAUUCAUCUGUUGAUGAACAUAUAGGCUGCUUCCAAGAUUUAGCUACUAUGGAUUGUGCUGCUAUAAAUAUGGAUAUGCAUGUAUCACUGUAACAUGCUGCUUUUUGGGGAAGACACCAAGAAGUAGAGUAGCUGGAUCAAAUGGAAUUUUUAGUUUUAGUUUUUUGAGGAAUCUCCAUACUGAUUUACAUGGUGAUUGCAAUAGUUUACAUUCUCACCAAAAAUGAAAAAAGGUUCCUUUUCCGCACAGCAUCACCAGCAUUUUUAUUAUUUGAUUUUUUGAUGAUGGCCAUACUUUCUGAAAUAAGAUUAUAUCUCAGUCUUGUUUUAAUUUGCAUUCCAGUAAUGGCCAGCAGUGAUGAACAUUUCCUAAUGUAUUUAUUGGCCAUUAGUAUGUCUUCUGAGAAGUGUCUAUUCAUUUCAGUUUCCCAUUUUUUCAUUGUGUCUUUUAUUUGGGAAGUGUAACUUUUUUUUGAGUUCUUUAUAUAUUCUAGAUAUUAAUCCUCUGUGUGAGGAAUAGCUGACAGUUUAAGAGAAUAUAUAAAGAGGAUGUGAAGGAGGUGAAAAAUCCUAAUUUCUGGUAGAAUCCUUUCCUGAGAUUUAUUCUGAGCAUUAUAAAAUGAUACUUUAAGAAGAAGUAAUAACAUAAUGCCUUUCCUUUAUUGAAGCACAUUCUAUUCUGCUAAAUUCCCUUUAGGAAAUAACAUUAGGACCAUUUGAAUCAAAAUUAAAUUGCAGAUACAUCUGGGGUAAAAUUUACCAGCUGUUGAGUGAAGGAGCUGUAUUUUUUAAUAUUUACUUCUUAUAUGAUUGUAUAAUUUAUAAUUAUUAUAAAAUGUUAAGAAAGCAGAGAGUAAGCAGAAAACAUCCAUAAUCCCAUUACAUUGAAACAACCAUUAUUAACAAAUUUUUAGAUCACCUUCAAGUGUCUUUGCUAGACUUUAACAUAAUUGUGCAUAUAUUUCAUACAUAAGGUUGUAUCUUAUUUUUAAUUCAGUAUUAUUUUUUAAAUUUUUUCCAUUAAGUUUAUUGGUACAUUUUAGGUAUAAAAUACAGUUACAUUCAUCAUUGGGAUCUUGUACCUUUACAUGAGUAUCUUGGUUCUUAUUUUUUUCUCCUUCCCCUGCCCUCCCUUCAACCCCUCUACCCUUCCCUAUUUGCAAAGACUGUUUCCCUUUUUUUCCUUUUCUCAUAUAUUUUCUUUUCCCUUCUUUCCUUUCCCCUACCCCUCCCACUUCCCCUACUCCUUUAGACCUUUUCUUCCUAUGACACAAUCUCAAUUAUACAUUUUUUAAAUUACAAUAUCAAGAUCUAGGAGACAUUACCACAUAUUUUAUAGAAUUUAAAAGGAUAUAGAAGGCAUAUUACAAAAAUCUUUUUUGAAAUAAAUUUGACAACUUCUAAGAAAUACCUUGGAAGACAAAUUAAUGAAACUAUGGAGGAAAUAUAAAAUUUGAAUAGCAACUAUUAAAGAAAGUAUAUUCCCAGCUUGAAAACCUACCUUUAUGACAACAGCAGACUCAUAUACAUUUUAACUGAUAAAUUAUAUCAAACAUUUAAAGCAGAAAAAAGAAGGAACACUUCUCCCCUCAUUUUAGGAAAUCAACGUUGUACUAAUACUAAAACUGGAUAAAGAUAAUAGAAGAAAAAAAGUAUGAACAUACAUAAAAAUUUGUUUAACAAAACAAACUAUUAGCAGUCAGAUUUGGCAGUAUGUAGAAAGUGGUUUUGUUAUAGGGAUGGCAGUGUUGGUUCAGCAUUGGAAGAUCCACCCCCAAAAGUCAUCAUUUUAACAGAGGACAGGAAAAAGCCAUAUGAUCCUGUCAGUAUUUGGAAAAAAAAGUAUUGGAUUAAAUUCUACAGCUGUUCAUGGUAAAAACUAUCAGGAGACUAGAAGUAGAACAGUACCUUCUCAACAGAUCAAAGACAUGUACUCCAUACUUCCAGCAAAAACGCCUUAUAUAAAUGGAGAAGAUACAAUGCUUUCUCCCUAAGGUGAGGAACAAGGGAAGAUAGGCCUAUUCUUCAUCUGUCCAUUAAACUUUGAAACAUAGGCCCAAACCAAAAUAGUCUGGCAGGGCCGGGGAUUUAGCUCAGUGGUUCCGCUGCCUGCCUCGCAAGGGGAAGGACCCAAGUUCAAUCCCCGGUACCAAAAAAAAAAAAAGGGAACUGAAGCUCAGGCCAGGGAUUUAGCUCAGUGGUUCUGGCGCCUGCCUUGCAAGGGGAAGGACCCAAGUUCAAUCCCUGGUACAAAAAAAAAAAAAAAAAUCAUCUGGCAAUAAAAUGAAACAAUUAGGAUAGGAUUGGCAAGGUAGAAGUAAAAUCUUUAUAUUCUUUAUAUGUAGAUGAAAUGAUCAUCUACAGAGAAAAUGCUAAGAAAUCUCUAGGAGCCCCUAGAACUUGUAUUUGAAUUUAGCAGGAUUAGAAAACACAGGGUAUAUAUAAAAGUUCAGGUCUAUGUAUACUUGCUAUAAAUGAAGAAUUGGAUAUUGAAAUUUAAAAGUUAUGUAGAAGUACACAGGACCUAGAAAAGUAAAAAGAAAAAAAAAACAGUGUUUGAAGACAUUUAGUACCUAAUUUUAAGACUUCCUCUAAAGCUACAGUAAUCAAGUCAGUGUUGGUGUAAGGAAAGACAUAUAGAUCAUUGGAAUAAAACAGAGAAUCUAGAAAUAGAACCACACAUAUAUGGUCCACUGAGUUUUGAAAGAUUAUUUAACAUUAAUGUUUUAUAGAACAUAAACUCAAUUCAAGAGCAGAGGAAAAGAUAGUGUUUUCAGCAAAUGACACUAGAAUACCUGGUAUCCGUAUAUAAAAAAUUAACCUCAACCCUUUAUUUCCAUACAUAAAAAUAUCUUGAAAGGAUCUAUGAACUUAAAUAUGAGAGAUUAAAAAAAAGAAAUUAUCAGGGAAAAUGUUUAUGAAUUUAGGGUAGGCAAGAAUUUCUAGGAUAGAAAAAACAGGAUGUAUAAAGGAAAAAAUUGAUAAAUGAGAUUCCAUUAAAAUUUAGAACUUUAAAUGACAUCAUUAAGAAAAUGAAAAGUAAUCCUUAAACAGACCAUAUUUACAAUGCAUAUAACCUAUGACCAGAAUAUGUAAAGAACACUUGCACCUCAUUAAUAGACAACUCAAUUGAAAAGUAGACACAAGAAGAUGAUAAAUAGCCAGUAUAGCACAGGGAAAGGUGUGCAACACUAGAAUCAGAAAAAUACUAAUCAGUACAAUAACAAGAUUGAAUUAUACACUCAUUAGGGAGAUGAAGUUAAAAGUUUUAAAAGAACAAAUGUCAGCUUAGGUAUGAACCAAUUAGAACUUUCUAAUACUGCUAAUGUGAAUGUAAAAUGAUAAAACCAUUUUGGAAAAUAAUAUAGAAAUUUCUUGUAUUACUGUUAAGAACCAACAGUUCUGUUCUUAAGUUUUUACUUGAGAGAAAUGAAAACACAUGUUCACAAUAGAUUUGUAUAUACAAGUUGACUAUCCCUUAUCUGAAAUUCUUGGGACCAGAGUGUUUCAGAUUUUCAUUUGAAAUCCACUUGAUCUACAAAGAGGAUAGCUACUUCUGCUUUUUUUUUUUUUAUUCCUGUCACGUGGAGUAUUGUUUUCUACCCUUUUACUUUCAGUCUGUGAGUUUCUUUUUGAAUUAAAUGUGUUUCUUGUAUGCAGCAUAUUGUUGGAUCUUGCUUCUUGACCCAUUCUGCCAGUCUAUAUCUUUUGAUUGAUGAAUUGAG
rnacentral:lncRNA from 1 species